AUGAUGCAGGGACACUCCCACCUGCAGCUCUUCAUACUUUAUGAGUCUCAGCAGUUUCUGUCAGACAUCAUGGAUGUGAUCAUCUUUAAACACAGCUUCCUCACAGUGUCCAUCUUUUUACUGUGGACUACAGGUCUAACUGAUGGAAGCGAUGUCACCCAGACUGACAUGCUGUGGGAAACACAGGGAGACAAUGCAACAAUGAGCUGCACACACACAAAGGGUGGUACCUAUUUCCAGAUGUACUGGUACAGACAACUGCCAGGAGAAACUAUGGAGCUAGUUGUGUUCACAAUAUCAGGGAACAAAGAUAAUCAUGAUUUUGGAGGAUUCAGCAAAGACAAGUUCUCAGCCACAAAGCCUGACGCUGAGAGCGGGACGUUCACAGUGAAGAAUCUGCAGCCAGGAGACAAAGGCUUGUACUUCUGUGCUGUGAGUCAACACAGUGACACACACACAGGAGGAGGCUGAACAAAAACCCCAGAUAUUUGGCUGUUAGUGAUUCUAUGUGUCUGCUGUCCUGUAGGGGGACCUCCAGUUUAAUCAC